GUGUGACUAGGGGUGGCAGAACAAGUGGUGGCGGGGGUGGUGUGACGGAUAGUGGUGGCUCAAGUGGAGAGGAGGAGGGUCUCCCACAACUGGAUGGAUCAAUCGACAUAAAUUAUAAUCGACGUAAAAGGAAAGCAUGCAGUAUGAGAAGUAUUAAUAAAAAAAGAAGAACUAUAUGAAUCCCUGUUUUCGACCCAUGAAGGGACACACAAGGCAGUGCUCGACAUUGGUUGAUCAGGUUUUGUUGAUGGGUAGGGGAAGGUUGGAUCAUAACGAUAAGGGUGGUAGGCGGGUAGGGGGAAGAUGGCUGUUGUGAGCAUAUGGGUCCCAGACAAAUUAAUUUCCUUUUCUUAUAAUUAUAAUUAUAAUUUAAUAAAACAUAGGCAUAGACCACACGCAAAAUAAUUACUCCGAACAUAUCGCUAGCGCCAAUUAUAAUUCGAGUUAAGGCAGACCAUGUGCAAAAAUGAAUGCAUAAAUUAUAACGUUGUUAAUCUAUCACUUAACGCUUAUAACCAUCAUGUGUUCAUCCCCUCAUGCUUCAAUUGUUCACUUUUUGUGUGCAUAUCACCAUUUUUUUCCCCGUCUGUUGUAAUCCUCUUCUACUUGACGAGCAAGUUCAGGCUGAUGGAACUCUCAAUUGCAAACUGUGACAUGUGGAUCAACACAACACUUAGGCCAUCAUAACUACCAAAAUCAUCAUAGCUGAACUGAACUCUGGUCAACAAUUCUGCCCUCUAUUCUGGUGGAUAAAGUAUGCUAUCGCUAAUCUCGAUGCCAAUGAACUGCCCUCUAUUCUGGUGGAUGAAGUAUGCCAUCGCUAAUCUCGAUGCCAAUGAACUGCCCUCCAUCUGGUGGAUGAAGUAUGCCAUCGCUAAUCUCGAUGCCAAUGACCUGCCCUCUAUCUGGUGGAUAAAGUAUGCCAUCGCUAAUCUCGACGCCAAUGAACUGCCCUCUAUUAAGUAUGCCAUCGCUAACCUCAAUGCCAAUGACCUCUAUUCUGGUGGAUAAAGUAUGCCAUCACUAAUCUCGAUGCCAAUGAAGUCUGCCCUCUAUUCUGGUGGAUAAAGUAUGCCAUCACUAAUCUCAAUGCCAAUGAAGUCUGCCCUCUAUUCUGGUGGAUAAAGUAUGCCAUCGCUAAUCUCGAUGCCAAUGAACUGCCCUCUAUUCUGGUGGAUAAAGUAUGCCAUCGCUAAUCUCAAUGCCAAUGACCUCUAUUCUGGUGGAUAAAGUAUGCCAUCGCUAAUCUCGAUGCCAAUGAAGUCUGCCCUCUAUUCUGGUGGAUAAAGUAUGCCAUUGCUAAUCUCGAUGCCAAUGAAGUCUGCCAUCUAUUCUGGUGGAUAAAGUAUGCCAUCGCUAAUCUCGAUGCCAAUGAUCUGCCCUCUAUCUGCUGGAUAAAGUAUGCCAUCGGUAAUCUCAAUGCCAAUGACCUGCCCUCUAUCUGGUGGAUAAAGUAUGCCAUCGCUGCCAAUGAACUGCCAAUGCCAAUGACCUCUAUUCUGGUGGAUAAAGUAUGCCAUCACUAAUCUCAAUGCCAAUGACCUGCCCUCUAUCUGGUGGAUAAAGUAUGCCAUCUGCUAAUCUCAAUGCCAUCGCUAAUCUCGAUGCCAAUGAAGUCUUCCCUCUAUUCUGGUGGAUAAAGUAUGCCAUCGCUAAUCUCAAUGCCAAUGAAGUGCCCUCUAAUUCUGGUGGAUAAAGUAUGCCAUCACUAAUCUCGAUGCCAAUGAACUGCCCUCUAUUCUGGUGGAUAAAGUAUGCCAUCGCUAAUCUCAAUGCCAAUGAAGUCUACCCUCUAUUCUGGUGGAUGAAGUAUGCCAUCGCUAAUCUCGAUGCCAAUGAACUGCCCUCUAUUCUGGUGGAUAAAGUAUGCCAUCGCUAAUCUCGAUGCCAAUGAACUGCCCUCUAUUCUGGUGGAUGAAGUAUGCCAUCGCUAAUCUCGAUGCCAAUGAACUGCCCUCUAUUCUGGUGGAUGAAGUAUGCCAUCGCUAAUCUCGAUGCCAAUGAACUGCCCUCUAUUCUGGUGGAUGAAGUAUGCCAUCGCUAAUCUCGAUGCCAAUGAACUGCCCUCUAUUCUGGUGGAUGAAGUAUGCCAUCGCUAAUCUCGAUGCCAAUGAAGUCUACCGUCUAUUCUGGUGGAUAAAGUAUGCCAUCGCUAAUCUCGAUGCCAAUGAACUGCCCUCUAUUCUGGUGGAUAAAAUAUGCCAUCGCUAAUCUCGAUGCCAAUGAACUGCCC